rnacentral:rRNA from 1 species
CCAAGGAAGGCAGCAGGCGCGCAAAUUACCCACUCCCGGAACGGGGAGGUAGUGACGAAAAAUAACAAUACGGGACUCUUUUGAGACCCCGUAAUUGGAAUGAGUACACUCCAAAUCCUUUAACGAGUACCCAUUGGAGGACAAGUCUGGUGCCAGCACCCGCGGUAACUCCAGCUCCAAUAGCGUAUAUUAAAGUUGUUGCGGUUAAAAAGCUCGUAGUUGGAUCUCAGUGCGAGACGGACGGUCCGCCUACCGGUGGUCACUGUCCGGUUUCCACACCAGCCGGUUUCCCUGGAUGAUCUUCACCGGUUGUCUUGGGUGACCGGCAAGUUUACUUUGAAAAAAUUAGAGUGCUCAAAGCAGGCGCGACGCCUGGAUAAUGGUGCAUGGAAUAAUGGAAUAGGACCUCGGUUCUAUUUUGUUGGUUUUAGGAACACGAGGUAAUGAUUAAGAGGGACAGACGGGGGCAUUCGUAUUGCGACGCUAGAGGUGAAAUUCUUGGACCGCCGCACGACGAACUACUGCGAAAGCAUUUGCCAAGAAUGUUUCCAUUAAUCAAGAACGAAAGUUAGAGGUCCGAAGGCGAUCAGAUACCGCCCUAGUUCUAACCAUAAACGAUGCCAGCCAGCGAUCCGGCUGUGUUCCUCAAAUGACACGCCGGGCAGCUUCCGGGAAACCAAAGCUUUUGGGUUCCGGGGGGAGUAUGGUUGCAAAGCUUAAACUUGAAGGAAUUGACGGAAGCGCACACAAGGAAUGGGGCCUGCGGUUUAAUUUGACUCAACACGGUGCAACUCUCCUGGCCCGGACACAGGAAGGAUUGACAGAU